rnacentral:rRNA from 1 species
UACAGAGGGUGCAAGCGUUAAUCGGAAUUCCUGGGCGUAAAGGGCGCGUAGGUGGUUAUAUAAGUGAGAUGUGAAAUCCCUGGGCUUAACCUAGGAAUGGCAUUUUAUACUGUAUAGCUUGAGUACAUGAGAGGGUAGUGGAAUUUCCGGUGUAGCGGUGAAAUGCGCAGAUAUCAGGAGGAACACCAAUGGCGAAGGCAGCUCGCUGGAACGGUACUGACGCUGAGGCGCGAAAGCGUGGGGAGCGAACAGG